rnacentral:sRNA from 1 species
GUGUUGGCAAAAUCCAACGCCGGAAUUGGCGUUCCGUUUUCCAGAGGUGCCCUUAAGACGCAUCACAGCGUCUUUUUU